rnacentral:piRNA from 1 species
UAAGCACUUGGUGUCGGUCGGCCUU